rnacentral:misc_RNA from 1 species
UUGGUUUGUUAGCAGUGGUUGGCUCUACAACGACUUCCACCUGACAUGCCGUGUUCAUUUGUCUCUUGAGGCUCUGAUUGCCUGAACAAAUUGUUGGUUUCCUGUGUUGCCUACCUAACAUAUGGUAUUUUGUUUGGCUUAUUCAAGUCUUGUUCGUCAUGAUGCUUUUGACGUUAAACGAACCCUAAUCAUGUCUCUUUGUGCCACAACAUUAAUGCUUGUGUUGAUGUCGUGGCUCAUUGAGCCUUGCUUGGUCUCUUUGAUGUAGUACCUGAUGUGGGCAUGGGUCUCUAGGGAUUCUUGUUUUGUCCUUGUUUAGUGUUUCGCUCUCCAAAAUGACUGCUGGACACGCGUUGGCUUGUAAAAGGGCGUGUUCGGCUUUGUCAGCGAGGAAAGUUACCUGGU